UGUACGAACUUCCGGUUGUCCUGGCAGCUGUCGCUACCGCUGCUGCUGCUCCUGCUCCUGCCACCUGCCAGGGCCGGGCCUCAGUUCAGGGUUUGGUCACUUCUUCGUUCUCCACUGCGCCCAUGGUUCCUCCUGGAGCCAGGGCGGCGGGCCCGGCGGCUCCCGCGUGGUGAGAGGGCAGUCCAGGGACGAUGAAGGUCCCGCACUGCAGUUGCUGUCUCAGCCACCUCUUGGCCUCCGCCCUCCUGCUGCUGCUAUUGCUGCCAGGUUUGGGAGGGCCUUUGACUUUGCUGUUGCAGGCGGCCGAGGCCGCACCGGACCCUGGGCCUCCGGACCGCGGGCCGCGGACCCUGCCGCCCCUGCCUCCCGGCCCCACUGCCGCCCAGUUGCCGGGCGGCGCCCCAGCACAAGCCGCAGGGCCGCGGGGCGCUGAGGGCAGCAAUGGCAGUAGCCCCCGGGCGGGGCUCUCAGCAGAAGACUCCGGAGGGAAGGCGGGGGAAGAAGACUCAGUGGGUGGGAGGCUUGCUGUGAGCCCCAACCCCGGCGACAAGCCUAUGACCCAGCGGGCCCUGACCGUGUUGAUGGUGGUGAGCGGCGCGGUGCUGGUGUACUUCGUCGUCAGGACAGUCAGGAUGAGAAGAAGAAACCGAAAGACUAGGAGAUAUGGAGUUUUGGACACUAACAUAGAAAACAUGGAGUUGACACCUUUAGAACAAGAUGAUGAGGAUGAUGAUAACACUUUGUUUGAUGCCAAUCAUCCUCGAAGAAAUGAAUGAUGGAGCAGCUAUUUAUAUAGCAACUGUUGAAUGUCUGGCAUUGAUCUGGCCACUUGGGAUACACUACAGCCACAAAACAGAAAAGAAAAAGAAAAACAUCCUGACUUUGUGAAGCUUAACUUCUAGUUGUGAAAAGAUAAGAAUGUGCCUUUUGAUGAGAGGACUUCAUCUUUCUACAAUGAAGAGCAGAAUUUCUAUGUUUAAGGAAUAAGAAGCCACUUUAUCACUGGGGGUGGGGGGGUAUUUAAGUUACAUAUAUUAUGACAAACUUUAAUUUGUUGUUGCAGUAAAUACUGUGUCAUUUUGUUAUGUCUUUGUAUGUAUAGAAGUGCUCUUAAUGGGCUCAGAGUUGUUGGGAGUGAACUGCACUAUAAUAGAAAUCUGUGUGAAAAUUACUCUAAUUACUUUAGAGCAGGGUGUUCUCUGAUCAGUUACUGUUUCUUGCUUACCAUAUUGUAAACAAUUUUAUAUAUUAAUCAGUUAAUGUUGUUUUGUUUGGGUUCUUUUUUUUUUUUUUUUGGAGGGUUGCCCAUUGGUUGUUUUUCUUUUUCUCCAUUAAUUGUUUUUUGCUGAAACUGUAAUCCCAGCAGCAAACUGGUGUGUAAAAAUAAUUUAAGAUUUCUUUACAGAGAUGUAUUCCCCAUUUUUGUGGGAAAAAGAAGCCAACUUUAUUACUUUGCAUUUGGUUUUUUUUAGAUAUUAAUAAAUGAGUUCUGUGCAAAAAAAUAAAUAU